ensembl:lncRNA
AGGACGUGCAGGAGGCUCUCACCUCCUCACCCAUCUCCAGGGUGCACGGGGGCUGAGCUGACCUCUGUCCCCUCUUGCUGCCACUUGGGGGGGUCAGGCACAGAUAGUGUCCCCUGCAGCAGGAAGGGGGCUGCCCACCGGCGUCAGGUGACCCUCUCUGCACAGAGCUGGGAUGCGCUAUCCCCACGCCCAGCUGCUGAGUUGGGGAUUUCCUGCAGCAGAGAGGGGCGGCCUGGCUGCCCGGGUCUCCAGGUUAGGGAUCUAGAGCUCAGGAGGCCUCUCAGAACGUUCUUGCUCCCCGUCUUUCGUCCUUCGUCACGCACGGGGGGCCUCUGUUCCCAUGGGCACUCGAGCCUCCCUCUAUUGCCUUCUCUCUCAGCAGUUCUUUGGGGCUGGCUCUGGGGCCAUCUUGGUCCCCAUUGCUCUCUUUUGUGUCUUAGAUGGGGAAGGGUGGUGGCCAGUCCCGCCUUCCUCUCCAUCCUCCUCCUUCGCCGAGCAGCGUGUUGGUAAAUGUUUCUGGUUUACUUGGUUGAAUGUCUCCAUUGUUUAUAAUACUCUGCUCUGAGAAAUUCUCUUCAGUCGUUGUUAUUUGUGGCGUGUGCUUCAAGGUCAUCUGCUCACAACUUGAUAGUCGCAGAGACUACUCCCAAGUAUUGCCCACCGUCCUUCACAGUUUACAAGUACUUUCUGGGUUUCUCUCUUAUUUAACUCUUAGGCAUUUUCUCAUGUGGCUUUAAAAUCCGACAGCCCGUGGCUUUCCCCUCUGAUCCCAGCUCUGCUCUCUGGGCCCGUGGACCCUGCGUGCUCCCUCUGCCUGGGGACAGCCUGGCAGGGAUAGGAAGGCAGCGAUCUGAUCCCUCUGAGGCUGCUCUUCUCCACAGGGAGCAGCUCGUGCCUUGACAUGGGAUCCAGCACUGGACCUGAAUUGCCUUUGACCUCCCACUUCCCGGUUACUGCCUCUAUUAAUGUAGCCUCAGAAUGAAUGAGCUUGUCCUGAGCAACGCCCGCGAAUUUUGCUGAGGCACGUCCACCAACAGUGCCAUGCUCUUCCUUGAGCCUGGCGAUGGCUCAGCCGACACAGCAGACAGCCCAGGAGCUGAUCCAGGCGCCAGACUAGGAGGACCACUUGGCCUCCUUUGAGCCUCACAUCGCCCCUGCGUGGGAGAUAGUCCAGACAAAACUCAACAGGCUGCAGUUGGGACCUGGACCCAUUUGAAGUCAGAGCCCUCUCUGGACCCCGUGCUGUAGCCUCCAACAAGUAUUCUGAAGUUGUGGGUCCACCACCCUCCUCUUUCUCCCAGUGUUCCAACCAAGGGACACUGGCCUCUGGAGCCCUGGCACAGCCAUGGCUCCCAUUCUUGAGCCACGUUCCUGGGCUGGCUGCAAGCCCCCCAGCCUGGCUUUCUGAGUGCCAGUUAUUUACUGAGUAUGUCCUGAUGCCUGAGGCAGAUCCCUGACUCAAGGAGCUCACAUGUCUCUAUUGCUAUUUCUGUGGAGGGAAUAGGGACUCUAACCCUCACAGGUGUACAUCACUUUACAGGUUACAAAGCCCAUCACCUCAAUUAAUUCUCACAGCAACCCUGGAAGGUAGGUAUUAUUGUCCCCAUUAUAGGUAAGGAAACUGAGGCACAGAGAUGUUAUGUUCAUUGGCAAGUGGUAGAGCUGGAAAUGCCCAAGUCUGUGCUCCAGGCGGCAGGAAGCUCCCUAGACCCUCACAGCUUCUUUGUGCACCUGCUCUGUGGUGCUGGGCAGCUUCUUUCCUCGAUCAAUUCCUCAUUUCCAUGGCUUUAAAAUCAGGGUUUUAGUUUUGGACUAGCUGGUUUCUAAGGGGCCUCCAGCUCUGCCCUGAGCCCAUAACACAGACAAUCACCACCACCGUGGUCAGAGGGAGGAGAGAUGACUCCAAGAGGGGACCAGCCACAGAGGAAACGGGUUUCUGAACAGGGUCUUUAUGGAAGCCUAGAAUUUGGGUUAGGCAGAAAGUCAUUCUAGGAGCGGGGACUGCAGGAGCAAACGCAGGUUGGCGGUGGCCCAUUGUAAGUUAAACUGACAAAGAAUCUGAGGCCAGAGAGGUGAAGUGCCUUGUCCCAGGUCCCAUAGUCGGUUGUGGUGGAGUCAGCAUUCGGGCCCAAGUCAGGCUGUGGUUCCACCCUGUCUGCACACUAGAACCCAACCCUACCCAUGCUGGGUAGGAAUAGUGAUGCUCAGGACUCUUCUGCAGAGAUUCUGAUGUAAAUGAUGUGGAUCCGUCUGCGCAGGACUGUGGUUGGAGCCUGUAGCUCCUGGGCACGGGUAUCCUCAGGGGCCACUCUGUGGGUGUGGCCACGUUCCUGAGCCAGCACCCUGUGCCUCAGACUUAAUGUCACCUGUGGCAAGCAGGUUGGUAUGUGCCCACCUGUGGCUGGGUUCACGUGAUGCUAGUGGGGUUACUUCUGCCCCAGCACUAAAUCCUGGCUACCUUAGGGAUCCCCACGCAGUUACCUCAACCCCUCUGAGUUUUGCAUCCCGUCCAUAAAUUUGAUUGUGUACAUUAUUCAGGUAUUUGGUGAUGUUAAGGCAUCAUCAUUACUUUUUGCUUGUGUUAAUGUAUUGGGAAUAUGUUUUCAAAGAGUUCUUAUCUUUUUUUUGAGAUUUAAUUUUUAAGAAUUUUCUUGGAACCAUAAGUCUCUAGAUAGUAACUUCCUUUUUCUUCUGGACUAAUUUAUCAGUACACUGUUUAGUCGCACGUAAGCAAAACAACAUAAAUACAUUACAACUUUUGACAAAUAAUUAUUAAACAAAAAAAAGUAAAAUGGAAAUGCAUCAAAGAGUUCUUAUCUUUUAGGGAUCUAUACUGAAAUAUUUAUGAAUGAAAUGAUAUAAUACAUGAGAUUUGCUUCCAAAUGAUCCGGGUGGGGAGGGGUGGGCGAGAGUUGAUGAAACAUGAGUUGAUAGCAGUUGACACUGACUGACGACCAGGUAGAAGUUUAUACUAUUCUAAUUUUGCAUAUGUUUGACAUUUCCAUGACAAACGAGGACUUAACUUAAACACUUGGUAGUGCAUCAAAUGGGAAAAUAUACAUCAAGAUGGAAGAUAAAAGCAAAACCAGGGCCAGCGCGAGUUGUGGCCACCCAGAGUCCCGGAUCCGGAGGACAGUGGGAUCUGGCGAGCUGUGCGCGUUCAGCACCGCGGACAGCGGCCCGCGGGCUCUUCCCAGGCCGCCCGAGCAUCGCAGGGAUCUCAGAGCGCAGAGGCUUUCCCUCCGAUUACUGAAAAGAGUCUCGUCAGGACAGAAGGCUACCCAGCCUCUCACACGCCUCCAGAGAUGGGCCUUCACUUCCCACGGGGAAGACUAGUUCUUGGUGGACACUUUUGGCUCAUAAGAAAAUUUUGUUUUCUGCUCUUUAAGGAUAGCUUUGUCAAAAAUCAAUUCAUCAUAUAUGUGUGUGUCUAUCUCUGGGCUGUCUAUCCGGUUCCACUUAUCUAUCUGUCUAUGCUUAUGCCAAUCCCACACUCUCUUGGUUUAUAGCUUUAAGGUAAAUAGCUUUAUAUAGUAAGUCUUGAAAUCAGGUAGUGUGAGCCCUCCAACUUUGCUAUUCUUUUCCAAAAUUGUUUUGACUAUUCUAGGUUCUUUGCUUUUCCAUAUAGAUUUUAGAACUAGCUUGUUAGUUUCUAUGAAAGAGCCUGCUGAGAUUUUGCUUAGGUUUGCAUAGGCUCUAUAGAUAAGGAGGAGAACAGGCCUCUUAACGAUGUUGAGUCUUCCAAUCCAUGAGCAGGGUGUGUGUCUCCAUUUCUUUAAUUUCUCUCAUCAAUGUUUUGUAGCUUUUGUUAUACAAAUCUUGAACCAUAUUUUCUCAGAUUUAUUCCUAAGCAAUUAAUGCUUUUUGAUGCUAUUGCAAGGGGUAUUUUAAAAAUUCCAAUUUCCAGUUGUUUGUUGCUAGUAUGUAGAAAUACAAUUGAUUUUUGUUUGUGGGUCUUGUGUCCUGUGAUCUUGUUAAAUUCACUUAUCAAUUCUAGUAGCUUAUUUUUGUAGAGUUGUCAGGAUUUUCUAUGUUAACAGACGUUUUUCUUUAGAUUUUUAUUCUGAAAAAAUUUAAACCUAUAGAAAAGCUCCAAGAAGUAAUACAACUUUGAUAGGCAGAAUAACACGCCCUCUCGCCCCCAAAAGAUAUCCACGUCCUAAUUCCCAGAACCGGUGAAUAUGUUGCUACAUGUCAAAGGGAAUCAAAGUUGCAGAUGGAAUUAAGGUUGCUAAUCUGCUGACCUUCAAAUGGAUUAUCCUGGGUUACUGGGUGAGCCCAAUAUAAUCACAAGGGUCCUUAAAAGUGGAAGAGGGAGGCAGAAGAAGAGUCAGUAUCAGAGUCACAUGAUGUGAGAAAGCGGCCAUCACUGACUUUGAAGAUGGAGGAAGGGGCCGAGGACUGUGGGCGGCUCUAGAGGCUGGAGAAGGCGAGGAGAUGGAGUCAUCCCUGGGCCUCCAGAAUGCAGCUUUGCUGACAUCUUGACUUCAGCAUAGUGACACCCGCAUUAGACGUCUG